AAGCAACACUGUGACAUAUUAGCAAAAUAGUCUGCCAUAAUUUAAGCUUACUAGAGCAAGAAAGUCCAAUCUAUCCCAGCACUCUCCCCUCUGUGAGACAGUUACACAGACUUAAACAGU
ensembl:snoRNA